GAUGAACGCUGGCGGCGCGCCUAACACAUGCAAGUCGAACGGCACCCACCUUCGGGUGGAAGCGAGUGGCGAACGGCUGAGUAACACGUGGAGAACCUGCCCCCUCCCCCGGGAUAGCCGCCCGAAAGGACGGGUAAUACCGGAUACCCCCGGGCGCCGCAUGGCGCCCGGGCUAAAGCCCCGACGGGAGGGGAUGGCUCCGCGGCCCAUCAGGUAGACGGCGGGGUGACGGCCCACCGUGCCGACAACGGGUAGCCGGGUUGAGAGACCGACCGGCCAGAUUGGGACUGAGACACGGCCCAGACUCCUACGGGAGGCAGCAGUGGGGAAUCUUGCGCAAUGGGGGGAACCCUGACGCAGCGACGCCGCGUGCGGGACGGAGGCCUUCGGGUCGUAAACCGCUUUCAGCAGGGAAGAGUCAAGACUGUACCUGCAGAAG
rnacentral:rRNA from 1 species